rnacentral:rRNA from 1 species
GUAGUCAGCCUGGCGUUGGUUGUCCGGGUGGAAGGUUGUAGGCAUGUAUCUUAGGCAAAUCCGGGGUACUGUAUGCUGAGAACUGAUAGCAAGCUGUACUUGUACAGUGAAGUGGCUGAUACCAUGCUUCCAGGAAAAGUCUCUAAGCUUCAGUUACAUAGGAAUCGUACCCGAAACCGACACAGGUGGUCAGGUCGAGUAGACCAAAGCGCUUGAGAGAACUCUGCUGAAGGAACUAGGCAAAAUGGUACCGUAACUUCGGGAGAAGGUACGCUGCCGACGGUGAUAGGAUUUACUCCUUGAGCUAUUGGCAGCCACAGAAACCAGGCCCCUGCAACUGUUUAUUAAAAACAUAGCACUCUGCAAACACGAAAGUGGACGUAUAGGGUGUGAUGCCUGCCCGGUGCUGGAAGGUUAAUUGAUGGGGUUAGCGUAAGCGAAGCUCUUGAUCGAAGCCCCAGUAAACGGCGGCCGUAACAAUAACGGUCCUAAGGUAGCGAAAUUCCUUGUCGGGUAAGUUCCGACCUGCACGAAUGGCAUAAUGAUGGGGGCGCUGUCUCCAGCAGAGACUCAGUGAAAUCGAAUUCGCCGUGAAGAUGCGGUGUACCCGCGGCUAGACGGAAAGACCCCGUGAACCUUUACUGCAGCUUGACAUUGAACUUUGAUCUUACUUGUGUAGGAUAGGUGGGAGGCUUUGAAACCGAGACGCUAGUUUCGGUGGAGCCAAUCUUGAAAUACCACCCUGGUAAUAUUGAGGUUCUAACUCUGUCCCGUUAUCCGGGACGAGGACCAUGUCUGGUGGGUAGUUUGACUGGGGCGGUCUCCUCCUAAAGAGUAACGGAGGAGUACGAAGGUGCGCUCAGCGUGGUCGGAAAUCACGCGUAGAGUAUAAAGGCAAAAGCGCGCUUAACUGCGAGACCCACAAGUCGAGCAGGUACGAAAGUAGGUCUUAGUGAUCCGGCGGUUCUGUAUGGAAGGGCCAUCGCUCAACGGAUAAAGGGUACUCUGGGGAUAACAGGCUGAUACCGCCCAAGAGUUCAUAUCGACGGCGGUGUUUGGCACCUCGAUGUCGGCUCAUCUCAUCCUGGGGCUGAAGCAGGUCCCAAGGGUAUGGCUGUUCGCCAUUUAAAGAGGUACGCGAGCUGGGUUUAGAACGUCGUGAGACAGUUCGGUCCCUAUCUACCGUGGGCGUUGGAAAUUUGAGAGGAUCUGCUCCUAGUACGAGAGGACCAGAGUGGACGAACCUCUGGUGUACCGGUUGUGACGCCAGUCGCAUCGCCGGGUAGCUAUGUUCGGAAGGGAUAACCGCUGAAAGCAUCUAAGCGGGAAGCCUACCUCAAGAUAAGAUUUCCCUAGGACUUUAUGUCCUCUAAAGAGCCGUUGAAGACUACGACGUUGAUAGGUUGGAUGUGGAAGCAUAGUGAUAUGUGAAGCUGACCAAUACUAAUUGCUCGUGAGGCUUGAUU